AAAUUGAAGAGUUUGAUCAUGGCUCAGAUUGAACGCUGGCGGCAGGCCUAACACAUGCAAGUCGAACGGUAACAGGAAACAGCUUGCUGUUUCGCUGACGAGUGGCGGACGGGUGAGUAAUGUCUGGGAAACUGCCUGAUGGAGGGGGAUAACUACUGGAAACGGUAGCUAAUACCGCAUAACGUCGCAAGACCAAAGAGGGGGACCUUCGGGCCUCUUGCCAUCGGAUGUGCCCAGAUGGGAUUAGCUUGUUGGUGGGGUAACGGCUCACCAAGGCGACGAUCCCUAGCUGGUCUGAGAGGAUGACCAGCCACACUGGAACUGAGACACGGUCCAGACUCCUACGGGAGGCAGCAGUGGGGAAUAUUGCACAAUGGGCGCAAGCCUGAUGCAGCCAUGCCGCGUGUAUGAAGAAGGCCUUCGGGUUGUAAAGUACUUUCAGCGGGGAGGAAGGGAGUAAAGUUAAUACCUUUACUCAUUGACGUUACCCGCAGAAGAAGCACCGGCUAACUCCGUGCCAGCAGCCGCGGUAAUACGGAGGGUGCAAGCGUUAAUCGGAAUUACUGGGCGUAAAGCGCACGCAGGCGGUUUGUUAAGUCAGAUGUGAAAUCCCCGGGCUCAACCUGGGAACUGCAUCUGAUACUGGCAAGCUUGAGUCUCGUAGAGGGGGGUAGAAUUCCAGGUGUAGCGGUGAAAUGCGUAGAGAUCUGGAGGAAUACCGGUGGCGAAGGCGGCCCCCUGGACGAAGACUGACGCUCAGGUGCGAAAGCGUGGGGAGCAAACAGGAUUAGAUACCCUGGUAGUCCACGCCGUAAACGAUGUCGACUUGGAGGUUGUGCCCUUGAGGCGUGGCUUCCGGAGCUAACGCGUUAAGUCGACCGCCUGGGGAGUACGGCCGCAAGGUUAAAACUCAAAUGAAUUGACGGGGGCCCGCACAAGCGGUGGAGCAUGUGGUUUAAUUCGAUGCAACGCGAAGAACCUUACCUGGUCUUGACAUCCACGGAAGUUUUCAGAGAUGAGAAUGUGCCUUCGGGAACCGUGAGACAGGUGCUGCAUGGCUGUCGUCAGCUCGUGUUGUGAAAUGUUGGGUUAAGUCCCGCAACGAGCGCAACCCUUAUCCUUUGUUGCCAGCGGUCCGGCCGGGAACUCAAAGGAGACUGCCAGUGAUAAACUGGAGGAAGGUGGGGAUGACGUCAAGUCAUCAUGGCCCUUACGACCAGGGCUACACACGUGCUACAAUGGCGCAUACAAAGAGAAGCGACCUCGCGAGAGCAAGCGGACCUCAUAAAGUGCGUCGUAGUCCGGAUUGGAGUCUGCAACUCGACUCCAUGAAGUCGGAAUCGCUAGUAAUCGUGGAUCAGAAUGCCACGGUGAAUACGUUCCCGGGCCUUGUACACACCGCCCGUCACACCAUGGGAGUGGGUUGCAAAAGAAGUAGGUAGCUUAACCUUCGGGAGGGCGCUUACCACUUUGUGAUUCAUGACUGGGGUGAAGUCGUAACAAGGUAACCGUAGGGGAACCUGCGGUUGGAUCACCUCCUUACCUUAAAGAAGC
rnacentral:rRNA from 3 species